UUUGAGUAUAGCUCUUCGUCGAAACGGAGAAAGGAAAAAGUUCAAAGAAAGAAAAGAAAUCACCAACAACACAUAGACACACAAACACAUAUACACACA